AGUGAACGCUGGCGGUAGGCCUAACACAUGCAAGUCGAACGGCAGCACAGUAAGAGCUUGCUCUUACGGGUGGCGAGUGGCGGACGGGUGAGGAAUACAUCGGAAUCUACUUUUUCGUGGGGGAUAACGUAGGGAAACUUACGCUAAUACCGCAUACGACCUACGGGUGAAAGCAGGGGAUCUUCGGACCUUGCGCGAUUGAAUGAGCCGAUGUCGGAUUAGCUAGUUGGCGGGGUAAAGGCCCACCAAGGCGACGAUCCGUAGCUGGUCUGAGAGGAUGAUCGGCCACACUGGAACUGAGACACGGUCCAGACUCCUACGGGAGGCAGCAGUAGGGAAUAUUGGACAAUGGGCGCAAGCCUGACCCAGCAAUACCGCGUGGGUGAAGAAGGCCUUCGGGUUGUAAAGCCCUUUUGUUGGGAAAGAAAAGCAGCAGGUUAAUACCCCGCUGUUCUGACGGUACCCAAAGAAUAAGCACCGGCUAACUUCGUG
rnacentral:rRNA from 1 species